rnacentral:rRNA from 1 species
AGCUUGCUUCUUUGAUGACGACCGGCGCACGGGUGCGUAACGCGUAUAGAAUCUACCUUAUACUGAGGGAUAGCCUUUGGAAACGAAGAUUAAUACCUCAUAGUAUGUUUUUAUCGCAUGAUAGAUACAUUAAAGGUUACGGUAUAAGAUGACUAUGCGUUCUAUUAGCUAGAUGGUGUGGUAACGGCACACCAUGGCAACGAUAGAUAGGGGCCCUGAGAGGGGGAUCCCCCACACUGGUACUGAGACACGGACCAGACUCCUACGGGAGGCAGCAGUGAGGAAUAUUGGACAAUGGAGGCAACUCUGAUCCAGCCAUGCCGCGUGCAGGAAGACUGCCCUAUGGGUUGUAAACUGCUUUUAUACAGGAAGAAACCUUUUCACGUGUGAAAAGCUGACGGUACUGUAAGAAUAAGGAUCGGCUAACUCCGUGCCAGCAGCCGCGGUAAUACGGAGGAUCCAAGCGUUAUCCGGAAUCAUUGGGUUUAAAGGGUCCGUAGGUGGAUAAUUAAGUCAGGGGUGAAAGUCUGCAGCUCAACUGUAGAAUUGCCUUUGAUACUGGUUGUCUUGAAUUAUUGUGAAGUAGUUAGAAUAUGUAGUGUAGCGGUGAAAUGCAUAGAUAUUACAUAGAAUACCAAUUGCGAAGGCAGAUUACUAACAAUAUAUUGACACUGAUGGACGAAAGCGUGGGGAGCGAACAGGAUUAGAUACCCUGGUAGUCCACGCCGUAAACGAUGGUCACUAGCUGUUCGGAUUUAUCUGAGUGGCUAAGCGAAAGUGAUAAGUGACCCACCUGG